rnacentral:rRNA from 1 species
GCUGGGUGGAUUAGUGGCGAACGGGUGAGUAACACGUGAGUAACCUGCCCUUGACUCUGGGAUAAGCCCGGGAAACUGGGUCUAAUACCGGAUAGGAGCGCCUGUCGCAUGACGGGUGUUGGAAAGAUUUUUCGGUCAUGGAUGGACUCGCGGCCUAUCGUUGGUGAGGUAACGGCUCACCAAGGCGACGACGGGUAGCCGGCCUGAGAGGGUGACCGGCCACACUGGGACUGAGACACGGCCCAGACUCCUACGGGAGGCAGCAGUGGGGAAUAUUGCACAAUGGGCGGAAGCCUGAUGCAGCGACGCCGCGUGAGGGAUGACGGCCUUCGGGUUGUAAACCUCUUUCAGUAGGGAAGAAGCGAAAGUGACGGUACCUGCAGAAGAAGCACCGGCUAACUACGUGCCAGCAGCCGCGGUAAUACGUAGGGUGCGAGCGUUAUCCGGAAUUAUUGGGCGUAAAGAGCUCGUAGGCGGUUUGUCGCGUCUGUCGUGAAAGUCCGGGGCUUAACCCCGGAUCUGCGGUGGGUACGGGCAGACUAGAGUGCAGUAGGGGAGACUGGCUGGUGUAGCGGUGGAAUGCGCAGAUAUCAGGAGGAACACCGAUGGCGAAGGCAGGUCUCUGGGCUGUAACUGACGCUGAGGAGCGAAAGCAUGGGGAGCGAACAGGAUUAGAUACCCUGGUAGUCCAUGCCGUAAACGUUGGGCACUAGGUGUGGGGACCAUUCCACGGUUUCCGCGCCGCAGCUAACGCAUGCCCCGCCUGGGGAGUACGGCCGCAAGGCUAAAACUCAAAGGAAUUGACGGGGGCCCGCACAAGCGGCGGAGCAUGCGAUUGAUGCAACGCGAGAACCUUACCAAGGCUUGACAUGUUUUCGAUCGCCGUGAGACACGAUAUCCCUUUGGGGCUGAUUCACAGGUGGAUGCAUGGGUGUCGUCAGCUCGUGUCUCGAGAUGUUGGG